UGGGGCUCUAUGGGGCUCUUUGGGAUACAUAUGGGGCUCUAUGGGGUCUCUAUGGGGGUCUAUGGGUCUCUAUGGGCUCUGUGGGGUACCUAUGGGACUCUAUGGGGCUCUAUGGGGGACCUAUGUGGCUCUAUGUGUACCUAUGGGACUCUAUUGGGUCUCUACGGGGUCUCUACGGGGCUCUAUGGGGCUCUACGGGGUCUCUAUGACGGUGUAUGGGGCUCUAUUGGGGCUCUAUGGGGCUCUGUGGGGUACCUAUGGGACUCUGCGGGGUACACCCUGCAUGUGGGGCACUUCGUGGACGGCGGCGCCGGUGGGGG
rnacentral:lncRNA from 1 species